rnacentral:tRNA from 1 species
GCCGUCGUAGCUCAGGGGUAGAGCACGUCCUUGGUAAGGACGGGGUCGGAGGUUCGAUUCCUCUCGACGGCACCA